AUUGAACGCUGGCGGCAUGCCUUACACAUGCAAGUCGAACGGUAACGGGCCUUCGGGUGCCGACGAGUGGCGAACGGGUGAGUAAUGUAUCGGAACGUACCUUUCAGUGGGGGAUAACGUAGCGAAAGUUACGCUAAUACCGCAUAUUCUGUGCGCAGGAAAGCAGGGGAUCGCAAGACCUUGCGCUGAUUGAGCGGCCGAUAUCAGAUUAGCUAGUUGGUGAGGUAAAGGCUCACCAAGGCGACGAUCUGUAGCGGGUCUGAGCGGAUGAUCCGCAACACUGGAACUGAGACACGGUCCAGAUUCCUACGGGAGGCAGCAGUGGGGAAUUUUGGACAAUGGGGGCAACCCUGAUCCAGCCAUGCCGCGUGAGUGAAGAAGGCCUUCGGGUUGUAAAGCUCUUUCGGCCGGGAAGAAAUCGUAUCAGCUAAUACCUGGUGCGGAUGACGGUACCGGCAUAAGAAGCACCGGCUAACUACGUGCCAGCCGCCGCAGUAAUAC
rnacentral:rRNA from 1 species